GCCGGGGUAGCCAAGCCAGGUAAGGCGCACGCCUUGAGAGCGUGUGGCCCGUUGGGCCUCGUGGGUUCAAAUCCCACCCCCGGCGCCA
rnacentral:tRNA from 1 species